CCAGGCUCUGACCACUUGCAGCAGAUGGCUUUGCAACCAGACCCCAACCUCCCCAGGCAGGGAAGGCAGGCAGACUGGGGGAAGCAGCCCCCUCGCCCCACCUGCCCUGGAGCCAGAGGAGCCGCCCUCCCACCACCCAACCCCCACGCCGACCCGGGAAGCGCACGAACGGGGACGGUGCGGCUACCCGCUCGCGGCGAGAGCAGCAGCACCCUCAGGCCCUCCCGUGAGACGGCGGCAGCUGCAGCAGCGGCGCUGGGAAAGGCGGGAAUGAUCCUGAGAGGCAGAGGGGGAGGCCGGGGCGGGAGCGACUGCAUGUGGGGCUGCACUGGAGGGAGGCGGAGGCGCUCAGGGGGCUCGGCUUUUUUUACGAUUAUCAUCAUCAUCAUCUCGUUUUACCUGUGGCGCAGAAAGGCUCCCCAGCUCCUACUCCCUGAAUCCUCCUCCUCCUCCCCUCCUCUUUCUCUCUCUCUCCCUCAGUCUCUGCCGGGCGCUCGCGGAACCAGCCGGGCCCGGCCCGACCAGAAAGAGAACAGGGCGGGAGGGGGCGGCGGCGGCGGUGACCAGCGACCACGUGACCACGCUCGCGUAACGGCGGCCGCCUCCUGCCGCGCGCCCUCGCCGCGCUCCACCUCUAAUAACCCCGCGGCUCAAGCGCCCAGGACGCUGGUGCGCAGGCGCCCACCCAGCCUGGAGGCUGCGCGGGCGCGCAACGCGCUCGCUCUCGGGGCCCAGUCUAUGGGACCACGCGAGGCACGACGUGGGGAGUGAGCCGCAGGCCAAACCCUCUGCGGAGCCGGCCGGCUACCAGUACGCAUGCGCGGGAGGGCUUGUUCCACCCCCCCUCCCAAACUUUCUCCUUGUCCUCUCUCUUGCGCCCCAACCUGCGCGCAGCUGUAGCCUUAGGAACCUGGUACCGAGACUUCACCACUCACACCCACCACCAACUCCCCAGGGUGGGACUGAGAGUAAGAGAUGUCAGCCCCUGAGAAACUCCUAAUAGGCUGGCCCUCCUACCUCAUAAUUUACAUUUCCUAGUUGCGUGUAAAUGGCCUGCUGGGCGUUUUUUUACAGCUGAGUAGACUCCUAUUCAUGCUUCAGGACCCAGCCUGUAACUUACUCUGAAACAUACUCUACUCUACUUUGGGGAAGUCAUUAACAUUUUAUGCAGAUCUACUUUGUUAUAACCCAUAUAAGUUUUGUUUUGUUUUGUUUUGUUUCACAAAUCCGCAAUACUAGGCUCAGAUUUUAUCUCUACUCUAAAAACCUAGGACAGUAUGUGUCUUCAGCAUUGUGGUAUCUCAGUAAAAUUCGGAUGACUGUCAGAACACAGGCAAUGCCUAAACUCUAGGUCUUUGUCCUCCACCUCUACUUACUCAUGAUUUAAGAUUUCCUUUAGCCUUAGCAUAUGGAAUGCUGGUGUUUGUUUCUCGAAAAUGAAAGCCUUUAAAUGGGAAUGCCAAUUAGAGUGGUAAAUGCUUCACCUAGUAAAAAAGAUUUAUGGUCUUUUAUUGGCCUAUCUUCACAAAGAGCUCCAAAACAAAUUGAUAGUGUUGAGUCCAGAAGAAGGGAACCAAGAAAGAAAAAGGUCAAAUUUUCAAAGGUUAGCUAGCCUCCGUGGAGGGUCCCUGUGUGGGAGACCUUUGUUCAAAAUCCUUCCCUUUGCACAGGGAUUCCCUCGAUUUCUGUUGGCCCUCUUUGUUGCAGGAGCUAGACAGGUCAACUUAAUGCCUCUUGCCAAGUCUAAUCAGGGCAAAUAAUUAAAAUGUAAAAACUUACUAAAUAUCAUUUCUGGCUAAGUCCUGUCAUUGUUACCAUUAAAUGGGGUGAAUACCUAGAUUCUGUUUAGGAACUAUAACUAGCAACAAAAUUCCAGAAAAUGUUGGGAUAAAUGCUAAGCAAGAAACAGUAUUUACAAGGGCUUCUGAGAAACUAGGAAAAUCACAGCCCUCAAGCCUCCAAUCUGAUAGGUCUGAAAUGUUGAUGGACUUUUUUCUACAUUUACCAAUAUAGAUGCACACAGUGAUCCCACCUGAUAGUGGCAGCUACCACCCAGGAUAUGCUAGUAGCACCCCAUUCUAAAUACAUCCAGUCCAAGGUUCAGACUCUAUGAGAGACUAUAUUUUGGAGGCCUAUGAUAAACCCCAAUAUCCAUGUGCUUGUGUAAUACUCUCCCCUUGAAUCUAGGCUGGAUUAAACAAUAGAAUGUGGCAAAAUGACUGCCAGUUCCAGGCUGAAGCCAUAAGAAGUCUUUGCAGUGACAACACUGAAAUUUUCUGGAACCUGUACUCAUGGAAAACAGAAAUGAUUAAGAAACCCCCCACCUGUUUGUGUUCUGGGAAACGGCUUACCACAAAGAACCACCCUUCUCGUUUUAUUUUUGACAACAGCUUCUGUUUUUGCCCUUUGGAAGAAGAACCAUGAAAGAAAUCUAACUACUUCAAGACUGCCAUGCUGUCAGAAGUCUCACCUAGCCGUUUCAAGAGGCCAAAGAGAGGAAAACUUGAGGACCUGGGCUAAUCACCCCAGUGCUCCCUUUGGACACAACACAACCUACCACACAUGUGAGUGAGUGAGCCAUCUUAGAAGUGGAUUCUCCAGCCCCAUCAAGUUGCCCCAGUUGAUGCCACAUGGAACAGAGAUGAGCUAUUCUCCACCAUGCCCAAAUUGUAGAAUUAUGGACAAAUAAAUAAAAGUGUCAUGUUAAACCAGUUUCGUGGUAGGUAGAUAGUUAGCAAUAAGUAACCAGAGUAUCCACCUGUCUGCUAGAGAUGUGUUCCAAGUGUCCUCACAGGCAACUCAAACCCAACCUGCUCAAACUGAGUUUUGCAAAUCUCCAAACCUGCCUCUGUCUUUUGCUGGUAGUGCAUUCAUCCCCCUGAGACUCCAAACAGACAACCUGGGAGCUUCCCCUGACUCCUCUUUAUCCUGCCACAUUCAGUCACCAGGUAAUGGGCUUUUUUUCUCCAGCUUCAUGUGCAUCUCACCUCAGAUCCUCUUCAUCACUCUCCUGAAUUACUGAGUACUGAGAAUUAGUCAGGUUUUUCCAUGUUGCAAGGAAGUGUCAUACAUGUACCCAGAUUACCUUAGAGGUUUAUUGUGGGGUAGGGACUGAAGAGAUGUGGAAAACCAGCCCAGUCAUCUUCCAUCACCUAUUUUGGGUGGU